CCUACGGGGGGCAGCAGUGGGGAAUAUUGGACAAUGGGGGCAACCCUGAUCCAGCCAUGCCGCGUGUGUGAAGAAGGCCCUCGGGUUGUAAAGCACUUUCAGUGAGGAAGAACGCCUGGUGGUUAAUACCCAUCAGGAAAGACAUCACUCACAGAAGAAGCACCGGCUAACUCCGUGCCAGUAGCCGCGGUAAUACGGAGGGUGCGAGCGUUAAUCGGAAUUACUGGGCGUAAAGCGCGCGUAGGUGGCUUGAUAAGCCGGUUGUGAAAGCCCCGGGCUCAACCUGGGAACGGCAUCCGGAACUGUCAAGCUAGAGUGCAGGAGAGGAAGGUAGAAUUCCCGGUGUAGCGGUGAAAUGCGUAGAGAUCGGGAGGAAUACCAGUGGCGAAGGCGGCCUUCUGGACUGACACUGACACUGAGGUGCGAAAGCGUGGGUAGCAAACAGGAUUAGAUACCCUAGUAGUC
rnacentral:rRNA from 1 species